rnacentral:tRNA from 9 species
GACCCGUUAGCUCAGUCGGUAGAGCACUUGACUUUUAAUCAAGGUGUCCGGAGUUCGAAUCUCCGACGGGUCACCA